rnacentral:rRNA from 1 species
UACGUAGGUGGCAAGCGUUGUCCGGAUUUACUGGGCGUAAAGAGCGCGCAGGCGGUCGCCCAAGUCGCGUGUGAAAGCCCCCGGCUCCAACUGGGGAGGGUCACGCGAUACUGGUCGACUCGAAGGCAGGAGAGGGUAGUGGAAUUCCCGGUGUAGUGGUGAAAUGCGUAGAUAUCCGGAGGAACACCGGUGGCGAAGGCGGCUCCUGGACCGACACUGACGCUGAGGCGCGAAAGCUAGGGGAGCAACGGG